rnacentral:rRNA from 1 species
GGAGCUUGCUCCCGGAAGAUUAGCGGCGGACGGGUGAGUAACACGUGGGCAACCUACCUGUAAGUCUGGGAUAACUUCGGGAAACCGGAGCUAAUACCGGAUAAUUUCUUUCUUCGCAUGAAGAAAGGUUGAAAGACGGCUUUGCUGUCACUUACAGAUGGGCCCGCGGCGCAUUAGUUAGUUGGUGAGGUAACGGCUCACCAAGACCACGAUGCGUAGCCGACCUGAGAGGGUGAUCGGCCACACUGGGACUGAGACACGGCCCAGACUCCUACGGGAGGCAGCAGUAGGGAAUCUUCCGCAAUGGACGAAAGUCUGACGGAGCAACGCCGCGUGAGUGAAGAAGGUCUUCGGAUCGUAAAACUCUGUUAUCAGGGAAGAACAAGUACCGGAGUUACUGCCGGUACCUUGACGGUACCUGACCAGAAAGCCACGGCUAACUACGUGCCAGCAGCCGCGGUAAUACGUAGGUGGCAAGCGUUGUCCGGAAUUAUUGGGCGUAAAGCGCGCGCAGGCGGUUCUUUAAGUCUGAUGUGAAAUCUUGCGGCUCAACCGUGAGCGGUCAUUGGAAACUGGAGAACUUGAGUGCAGAAGAGAAGAGCGGAAUUCCACGUGUAGCGGUGAAAUGCGUAGAGAUGUGGAGGAACACCAGUGGCGAAGGCGGCUCUUUGGUCUGUAACUGACGCUGAGGCGCGAAAGCGUGGGGAGCGA